rnacentral:lncRNA from 1 species
AUGGAGGGAUCAGCAGAUAAACGAAAGAAUGGCCAUCUUAAUCCUGCCUUUCACCUGAAAGUUGUAGGACCAGUCAACAAAGUUAAUGGCCACAAGGGGAUUUCUCACACCAGCAAAGAGGUCCCAUCUCUUAGACCAGGCCUAAAGGGCACCCACCCAGUCAACAUAGUGCGACCUCUGAGACCUGCCUCAUUUGCCAAGGGUGGUCCACGGUCUCUUCCAACUGGCAAGCAUCCAGUGGAAACACCCAAAUCCCCACCAACACCUCAAAGACUGAAACCGCCAAAGAAACCUCUACCCCUUACUCCAGCACGAUCUCCCCUGUUGGUGUCUGAGCUGCAGCCCACACCCCAAUUCCCUCCUCAGAGGCCUCUCCCCUUGAGCCCUACCAGAGCAGUCUCCCCCCAAGUGAGUCCAGUCCAGACCUCACUCUCCAAAGCCACUCCAGGCCUACUGGUCAUGAUGCCCUCAUCAGCAGGACCUAAACCUGCAGGCAAAGUCUCUGCCAUCCCACCUUUCAGAGCUAUCAGACCGGUUCCAGGCACCAAAUUAAACACAGCUUCACAUCCACCAUGAAAAUGAUCUUCUUCUGGCCUCUCCUCUCUGUUUUGAGGUGGGCAGUAGCUGACAGCCUAUUUGCACUAAAGAGACUUUGGCUGUUGAACCACAGAGAUAUCACAGAAAUUAGAGGAGAACAAAACACAAAACUGAAAAUGGAGAGACAGAGGACCAAGCUAACUUAACCGCAAUGAUUAAGUGGUCAAGUGGUUGUCCAAAUAGGCCUUGCAGACUAACACAAGUGUAAUUGUUGGGGGAUGGUCAAAUUUACCCAGUUAAUUUUUAGGGUUUUGUUUUGUUUUUGCUAAUGUCCAUCUAUAAAAAUGCAUUUUGUAAUGACUUCUGUUUUGUUUACAGUUUGUUUCGUGUCACAUGGUAUGAUUUAUUAUAUCCACCAAAGAGAUCUCGGCAUUCCUGAGGUGUCCUGAAAGCUUGAAAAUAAGUUGAAAAAUAGUUUACUAUGAGUCACCUCAUCUAUACUUCUACGUUUUCUAAUUUAUUCUAUCAUAAGAUCAAUGUUUGAAGUCUAAAUCCAGAAAUACUGGCACAUAUGAUUUCAUAGGAAAGCUAAUGACACAGCAGCUUUUUAUCAACACUGUUUACAUGCUAGAGGGGUAGAUGGAGGCCUGCAGGACACACAUGGGUGGUUUUUUUCUUGAUUUAAAUGUGUUUUCCUAUGAUAAUAAAUGGUUACAUAAAAUAUUUUUUACAAAACUAUCAAGGUUUAUUUUUCUCCUUUUUUAAACCUUUUUAAACUUGUGACUCUAAAAUAAAGAUUUUGUGGAAAUAUUACUAAGGAUUUUUCUCUCUUUUGUCUGCUUGUAAGAUCUGUUUCACGAAUUCCCAUGGCCCUCAAAUUUAAGCAGAGACAAAAUUCUGUUUUAGCCUAAUCCAAAUAUUGUGUAGAUGUUAAUGGCUUUUAUACUACCCCUAUCUGUAUGUAAUCUCUCCCUAUUGCACUUACUGCUCUUGCAUUUCU